CAGCCGCCGCGGGAAUACGAAGGGGGCUAGCGUUGUUCGGAUUUACUGGGCGUAAAGGGCGCGUAGGCGGACUGAUAAGUCAGGGGUGAAAUCCCAAGGCUCAACCUUGGAACUGCCUUUGAUACUGUUUGUCUUGAGUUCGAGAGAGGUAAGUGGAACUGCGAGUGUAGAGGUGAAAUUCGUAGAUAUUCGCAAGAACACCAGUGGCGAAGGCGGCUUACUGGCUCGAUACUGACGCUGAGGCGCGAAAGCGUGGGGAGCAAACAGGAUUAGAUACCCCCGUAGUCCCUGUAUCUUAUAC
rnacentral:rRNA from 1 species